rnacentral:rRNA from 1 species
UCGCCUGUUUAUCAAAAACAUGGUUUUUUGUUUAUAUAAAAGAUCUAGCCUGCCCAAUGAUUUGUUUUAAGGCUGCAGUAUUUUGACUGUACAAAGGUAGCAUAAUCACUUGUCCUUUAAUUGAGGUCUGGAAUGAAUGGUUGAAUGAAAAACUAGCUUUCUUUAUUUUAAAAUAGUAAUUUGAUUUUUAAGUCAAAAAGCUUAAAUUAUAUUAUAGGACGAGAAGACCCUAUAGAGCUUUAUUUUUCGAAUAUAAUUAUUUUUUUUGAGAAUGAUUUUGUUUUUGUUUUUGAGGAAUUUUGUUGGGGUGACAGAAAAAAUUUUAUAACUUUUUCUACUUUUAUCAUUUAUUUAUGAGUUUUUGAUCCUUUAUUAUGGAAUUAAGAUUAAGUUACCUUAGGGAUAACAGCGUUAUUAUUUUGGAGAGUUCUUAUUGAUAAAAUAGUUUGCGACCUCGAUGUUGGAUUAAAAUUAGUUUCAGGAGUAGAAAAUUGAUGACUAGGUCUGUUCGACCUUUAAAUUUUUACAUGAUCUGAGUUCAAACCGGAGA